rnacentral:rRNA from 1 species
GACGAACGCUGGCGGCGUGCUUAACACAUGCAAGUCGAACGGAAAGGCCCUGCUUUUGUGGGGUGCUCGAGUGGCGAACGGGUGAGUAACACGUGAGUAACCUGCCCUUGACUUUGGGAUAACUUCAGGAAACUGGGGCUAAUACCGGAUAGGAGCUCCUGCUGCAUGGUGGGGGUUGGAAAGUUUCGGCGGUUGGGGAUGGACUCGCGGCUUAUCAGCUUGUUGGUGGGGUAGUGGCUUACCAAGGCUUUGACGGGUAGCCGGCCUGAGGGGGUGACCGGGCCAAUGGGGCAGGGGUGAGGGCCAGGAUCCUACGGGGGGGAGGAGGGGGGAAUAUUGUGCAAUGGGCGGAAGCCUGAUGGAGGAACGCCGCGGGGGGGAUGACGGCCUUCGGGUUGUAAACCGCUUUCGCCUGUGACGAAGCGUGAGUGACGGUAAUGGGUAAAGAAGCACCGGCUAACUACGUG